rnacentral:snRNA from 1 species
AAACAGGGUGAUCUGGCUAUGACAUCUGUCACUCCACUGAUCGCCAGGGUUGGUUUGAUUUGGCGGGCUAGGGAGGUGUCCCCUUCCUCCCUCACCGCUCCCUCCCGAAGCUGUACAGUCCGUAGAAUAGGACGUCCCAGAGAUAGAAGGAGUGUACUGAGGUCUCCAGUCUUCGGUCCCAGGUAUACGAUAGCUGCACUCCCCUGAUAUAAAUAUAGAUAUCUCUCUCUCUCUCUCUCUCUCUCUCUCUCUCUCUCUCUCACACACACACACACACACACACUGAGAUAUAUUGAAAUAUAUCUUUUU